UCUAAUUAUUGAAUGUAUCUACUUAAUUAAUUGAAAAUUCCUUCUAUUUUCACUAUAAAAAAGAACCAUUACCAAGUACCUACAAGCACUUCAACUAAUUAUUAGUAUCAUAAAUAAUUGUUUGAGAUGGCAAAAUCUAUGAUAUGCAUGGUUUUUAUCAUGUUUGUUCUUUUUUCUCAAUUAAUUGAGGCAACGCAAGAGCUAUCAUAUGCACCUGAAGCAUCAUCACCAUCAAUUUCAGUUAAAUUGUCUACCACGAAUCGUAACAUUCGCAUUCUUGUUAAAGGUUGCAUUGGCUCAUCAAUGUGCAAAGGUGGUGAUUGUUGCGUUUGUGAUUUAGGCGAAUGCAUUCGAUGUUGUCAUUAAUGAUGUAACAAAAUCAUACAUAUUUUAAUUAUAUAAUGAAAUGAUUGAUUAACGACUA